GCUACACAUGCAGUCGAGCGGCAGCACGGGUACUUGUNCCUGGUGGCGAGCGGCGGACGGGUGAGUAAUGCCUAGGAAUCUGCCUGGUAGUGGGGGAUAACGCUCGGAAACGGACGCUAAUACCGCAUACGUCCUACGGGAGAAAGCAGGGGACCUUCGGGCCUUGCGCUAUCAGAUGAGCCUAGGUCGGAUUAGCUAGUUGGUGAGGUAAUGGCUCACCAAGGCGACGAUCCGUAACUGGUCUGAGAGGAUGAUCAGUCACACUGGAACUGAGACACGGUCCAGACUCCUACGGGAGGNAGCAGUGGGGAAUAUUGGACAAUGGGCGAAAGCCUGAUCCNGCCAUGCCGCGUGUGUGAAGAAGGUCUUCGGAUUG
rnacentral:rRNA from 1 species